GCUGGAGCUCAGUGGUAGAGUACUUGCCUGGCACGCACAAAGCUCUGGGUUCAAUCCCCAGUACCAGGA
rnacentral:tRNA from 1 species